GAAUUAAAUUUAAACAUGUAAAAGGAAGUUUGGUUCGAUAAAAAUAUCAAGUGACUAGCUCUUUAGGAGGAAGUUUGGGAAACGCUGCGCUAGAAUUUUCAUUCCUCUUCUCAUUCUCCAUGAUUCAAUGAUACAAAUUCUGAGCUUUUCUUCCUGAAACUUAAGAUCAAUGACAGGAAAUUACCAUCAAUAUUAACAAGUAGAUAAGACAGCAUUAGAGAGGCGGAGCUUUCCGACCCUCUGACCAGCCGAUCCCGGCCCAGGUGCUCUCUCACCUCAGGGCAGGCAGGACUCGUGGGCACACCUGACUCGGGGCGCCCCAGCAGGAGGAGCUGGUCCCCCCUCUGCCAAGAGGCCCACCCUCAGCUGGCCUUCUUCCUGGGAGAAGGACCAUGGUUCCGAGGAUGGAGCGCCCGUCUGGCUCCCCCUUGUUUUGGCCUCCUCAUACUCUUCCACCUCUGCGUGCAGAACGCAGACCUGGUUCAGGGCUGUGAGAAAGAUCCACCGCAGGCCUUGACCCUGGUGUGAACCCGAGGGGCCCUGUGACUGAGAAUCCCCUGACCGUGAGGCUGGGCUUCAACACACAUGGUGUUGACUUCCUGGAACCCCUCAGACUUCUGUGACUGUCACCAUCAAGACCCCACAGCAAAUGUUGUAUAUUGUGUCUGGCAGUUUAAAUACUGCUUUCAUUCACAUUCAGGAAGUCCCCUGAACAAACCUGUGACGGGAUAUUAUCAUUCUGCCAAACCAGGGGUCGUGUUUGUAUCCCAGGAGAGCCAAGGCGGCGGACGGCUCCAGAGGACUUCGGAUAAAAAUAAUAUGCCUGCAUGUCGGAAUGUCCCGUGACACAGCUAAUGUCCAGGAGCAAAAUGGAAAACAAGACAACCUCCUCUUGCUAGUGUGAACACAACAGCGGGCCCCUUUGAUGACCACACGGCCACAAGAGUCCCUCCCAGGUGGAGCUAGGCCAACGAGACCUCCGAGAGCUCCAGAGGAAAUUCUUUCUUUUGCUUCAUUUUAUCCUUCUUCGUUAAGUAGGGCCGGAAAAUAUCUGUAAAAAUUAACCUAAAGCUUAAUGGCUUAUGUAAGAAUGCCUUAAUAAAAAUAUGUCGGGAAGGUUAUUGAACUGUACA
rnacentral:lncRNA from 1 species